CGCUGCGCUGAGCAACAACCCUAUCUCAUAAUGCUCGUAGCCACCUCCUUCACAAUGCAGCCGCGGGCAGCAGAGCCGGUUAACAGCUGCAGAAAACUCUGGACUCGGUGUAAGACAAUCAAGACUUAGGACUCCCCCUUACCCCCCGCUAUUGUUGCUGAAGCAACAGCCCAUUUAGCACCAGGUUACAGCCUGUGGUCGUACUUCAGUCGGACAUCAAAAGGAUAAAAUGCCUCAUCUAAACUGAUGUAUGGAUAGCCCAGGCAAAAAGUGAUCACUGAUCAAUGGAAAGGAAAAUGAUUUUUAUUGAAACCCUGGUCAAGUAGUAUAGGGUGAAAGGAAUUUCACUCUGUUGGCAGAAAUGAAUCCUGCUCACAAUCUCAAAUAAUUUUCUUCCAUAGAAAAAGACUACCAAAAAAAAAAAAAAAAAAAAGCAGGCCUGGGGAAGUGAAGAUGUUUACAAGUUCCAACCUUUCCUCUUAUUGCUCAAUAAUGCUCACUCAAAAAACUAAAAUUUCAGCUAAAAUUAUGAAUGAAAUUCCACUUCUCAAGUCAAAUUUGAAAAAUAAAGUUGUUCAAUGAGAUUGUCAAGGAAAUGA